rnacentral:rRNA from 1 species
CUACUGAGGAUCCUCGCGUUAUCCUGCUUUAUUUUUUUUACCUUUAGCGUAGGCGGAUGUUUACGUCAGUUGUGAAAGUUUAAGGCUCAACCUUGAAAUUGCAGUUGAUACUGGAUAUCUUGAGUACAUUGAAUGUGGGCGGAAUUCGUGGUGUAGCGGUGAAAUGCUUAGAUAUCACGAAGAACUCCAAUUGCGAAGGCAGCUCACAGUAAUGUAACUGACGCUGAUGCUCGAAAGUGUGGGUAUCAAACAGGAUUAGAUACCCUGGUAGUCCACACAGUAAACGAUGAAUACUCGCUGUUUGCGAUAUACAGUAAGCGGCCAAGCGAAAGCGUUAAGUAUUCCACCUGGGGAGUACGCCGGCAACGGUGAA